rnacentral:rRNA from 1 species
UGCGCUUAUUGUUUGAAUCCUGCUCAUGACGAACGCUGGCGGCGUGCCUAAUACAUGCAAGUCGAACGAACUCUGGUAUUGAUUGGUGCUUGCAUCAUGAUUUACAUCUGAGUGAGUGGCGAACUGGUGAGUAACACGUGGGAAACCUGCCCAGAAGCGGGGGAUAACACCUGGAAACAGAUGCUAAUACCGCAUAACAACUUGGACCGCAUGGUCCGAGCUUGAAAGAUGGCUUCGGCUAUCACUUUUGGAUGGUCCCGCGGCGUAUUAGCUAGAUGGUGGGGUAACGGCUCACCAUGGCAAUGAUACGUAGCCGACCUGAGAGGGUAAUCGGCCACAUUGGGACUGAGACACGGCCCAAACUCCUACGGGAGGCAGCAGUAGGGAAUCUUCCACAAUGGACGAAAGUCUGAUGGAGCAACGCCGCGUGAGUGAAGAAGGGUUUCGGCUCGUAAAACUCUGUUGUUAAAGAAGAACAUAUCUGAGAGUAACUGUUCAGGUAUUGACGGUAUUUAACCAGAAAGCCACGGCUAACUACGUGCCAGCAGCCGCGGUAAUACGUAGGUGGCAAGCGUUGUCCGGAUUUAUUGGGCGUAAAGCGAGCGCAGGCGGUUUUUUAAGUCUGAUGUGAAAGCCUUCGGCUCAACCGAAGAAGUGCAUCGGAAACUGGGAAACUUGAGUGCAGAAGAGGACAGUGGAACUCCAUGUGUAGCGGUGAAAUGCGUAGAUAUAUGGAAGAACACCAGUGGCGAAGGCGGCUGUCUGGUCUGUAACUGACGCUGAGGCUCGAAAGUAUGGGUAGCAAACAGGAUUAGAUACCCUGGUAGUCCAUACCGUAAACGAUGAAUGCUAAGUGUUGGAGGGUUUCCGCCCUUCAGUGCUGCAGCUAACGCAUUAAGCAUUCCGCCCUGGGG